GUUCUUUUAUUAAAGAAGAAAAAAUGAUGGAAAAAUCAUUCUGACGGUAUUUAAUGAAUAAGCCCCUGGCUAACUAUGUGCCAGCAGCUGCGGUAAUACAUGGGGGGCAAGCGUUAUCCGGAUUUAUUGGGCGUAAAGGGUGCAGUAGGCAGGUUAAAUAAGUCUAUGGUAUAAGUUCAACGCUUAACGUUGUGAUGCUAUAGAAACUGUUUGACUAGAGUUGGAUAGAGGCAAGUGGAAUUCCAUGUGUAGCGGUAAAAUGCGUAAAUAUAUGGAGGAACACCAGUAGCGAAGGCGGCUUGCUGGGUCUUAACUGACGCUGAGGCACGAAAGCGUGGGGAGCAAACAGGAUUAGAUACCCUGGUAGUCCACGCCGUAAACGAUGAGUACUAAGUGUUGGGUUAAACCAGUGCUGAAGUUAACACAUUAAGUACUCCGCCUGAGUAGUACGUACGCAAGUAUGAAACUUAAAGGAAUUGACGGGACUCCGCACAAGCGGUGGAUCAUGUUGUUUAAUUCGAAGAUACACGAAAAACCUUACCAGGUCUUGACAUACUCUGCAAAGCUAUAGAAAUAUAGUGGAGGUUAUCAGGGAUACAGGUGGUGCAUGGUUGUCGUCAGCUCGUGUCGUGAGAUGUUGGGUUAAGUCCCGCAACGAGCGCAACCCUUAUCACUAGUUACCAUCAUUUAGUUGGGCACUUUAGUGAGACUGCCAAUGAUAAAUUGGAGGAAGGUGGGGAUUACGUCAAAUCAUCAUGCCCCU
rnacentral:rRNA from 1 species